rnacentral:rRNA from 1 species
UACGUAGGGUGCGAGCGUUAAUCGGAAUUACUGGGCGUAAAGCGAGCGCAGACGGUUUUUUAAGCAGGAUGUGAAAUCCCCGGGCUCAACCCGGGAACUGCGUUCUGAACUGGGAGACUAGAGUGUGUCAGAGGGGGGUAGAAUUCCACGUGUAGCAGUGAAAUGCGUAGAGAUGUGGAGGAAUACCGAUGGCGAAGGCAGCCCCCUGGGAUAACACUGACGUUCAUGCUCGAAAGCGUGGGUGGCAAAC